rnacentral:ncRNA from 1 species
GGGUUCGGAGAAGCGUCUCCGAAGGGGAACAGAGAGUUGGUCGGGCCGCCAUCU